CUGGCCGCUGUGCGGGAACUGGUCGCCAAGUACAAGCCGAGCACCUAUACAUAUCAGCUCCGGUAAAAAAAAACUUAUUCAGGAAAGCAGGCUGUUGACGAGAANCACCACCCCACGCGGCGGUGUUCCGGCCCGUUGAGCAGAGUAAUCUGAUGUGCCACGAGGCGACGUUCUGGCCGGCAGAACAGAGUAAUCCGAUGUGCCACGCUGCUCCAGUAUUUUUGGUGCCAGUAAUGCCGCAGGUCAUAAUCCACGAACCGACGGUGUUCAGUUCUAAGGUGGCCGUGGCAUGAGAAUUUUUAAGACACAAUCGAAUACGAAAUCACUUUUUACGUAACUAACGCCCUGUUUGGUUUCAAUAAGUCAGAUGACUUAUAAGUCAGAUGACUUAUAAGUCAGGUGAUUUAAAACCAGUGACUUAUAAGUCACGCCUGUUUGGUUGUCAUCUGACUUAUAAGUCACAUUUUCAUGCAAAAAUGGGUGACUUAUAAGUUUUAAGUUGGGGUGGAGCAACUUAUGACUUAUAAGUUGGGGUGACUUAUAAGUUGGGUCUAUUUGGCAAAAUAAGUCAUUUUUUGCACUUUUUAACUUAUAAGUUGAUGAUUUAUUUGGAACCAAACAGGGCCUAAAGUUUCACUCUUGUAUCGAUGUAGCUUUGCAAAAUUCUCAGCCAGGUGAGGAUUAGCCAAUCCAUGGUUUUGUGUAGAUUAGAUGUCUCACAGGUCAAUUUAUAUAUGACUAGUUGAAUGCCCGUACGUUGUCACGGGAAUAUAUAACAAUAUGGCUUGAGUUUAA
rnacentral:lncRNA from 1 species